UACGUAGGGUGCUAGCGUUACUCGGAAUUACUGGGCGUAAAGCGUGCGCAGGCGGCUUUGCAAGACAGAUGUGAAAUCCCCGGGCUCAACCUGGGAACUGCAUUUGUGACUGCAAGGCUAGAGUACGGUAGAGGGGGAUGGAAUUCCGCGUGUAGCAGUGAAAUGCGUAGAUAUGCGGAGGAACACCGAUGGCGAAGGCAAUCCCCUGGACCUGUACUGACGCUCAUGCACGAAAGCGUGGGGAGCAAACAGG
rnacentral:rRNA from 1 species